rnacentral:lncRNA from 10 species
UUUUCCCAUAUCAGUAUGUCAUUUAGAAGCUUGCUAAAAAUGUAGCAAGAGGCCAGGAUUAUUUUUAGUUGGAAAAGCUUCAUUUACUUCUCACAAGCUCUGUGGCCUGUUGUGCUUCAAUUUCGUCAUCUUCAAAACCAGGAAGAGCUAUAUUCAUCUUAUCUCACAAAGCUGAUUAACAUAAAUGAAGGAGCCUUGGAAAAUGGAAAGCAUUAUACAAAUUAGGGUAUAACCACAUGACUAAUGUCACAUAUAAAAAUGGAGAACGGGUGCACAUUAAAGAGUAGGUAAGUGGUUAAUAUACUUUUUCUCUCUCAAUCCUCCCAACCUGCCCUCUUUACCUUUAUCUCUCCAAAAUAACAUGUUUGUUGUUUAAUAGAGAUGACAUCGUCCUAAUCUAAGGCUUAAGAUUCCUGUAACUCUUAAGUCACACUUUGCCAAAUUUUUAUUCAAUCACUGAAGGCUCACAUUGCCUCUGAAAGAAAAAAAAAAAGCAAGUGAAAUAUUUCUGACUGUGAGUGUUCUUAUAUUGGCAUCUUAGUGUGAACUUAGGGGAUAUGUUAGCGUUGACUGUUUUCUG